rnacentral:lncRNA from 1 species
UUCCUAACACCUUUUUUCAGCAUAUAAGGACCUUCAGGCUCGGAAGGAUAUUCGCGAAGAUAACUGGAGGAAACCUGGUUGGGAUGAAUGUGUCGCUUACACAGUUCCUCUGAUUCGGGAGAUGCGGUCAAGAUGGAUGCGGCCUACUGAUUUUUCGCCACUGAAGUAGAGAGCAAUCUUAGGCUGGAUUGAGGUGCGGAGGAAGACUGCAGGACUAGGAAUGGAAUAGGACUUCGCCUGUUAACCGUUAUGAUUUUUUAAAAUCUAUUCGUAUUUUUCUUUAUCCUAGUCGAUGUUUUGUGAAACAUUUCACUGUCGUAAAGCAUAACAUGCAAACCAUCGACGGAAUUAUACACAAUUUGUUUUUUCCUGUUUGAUUAUUUUAGCUACCUUUCUUUCUAAGCUCACUUUAUUCUUGUUUGUCUCGAGCGGGGGGAAAAUGCCUUAUUGGUGUAUUUUGCGGAACUUGUUGCCCAGAGUCUUUUACUCUGUGAAAAGUCUGUUGCUUAGCAGUGUGAUUGUGCAUUUGCACCACACGCUAAUGAGAAAAUGCGAAUAUAUUUUUUAUUAUGUUACAGACUUGGCUAGCCUUGUGUAACUGCUGUAAUUGUGUGACCUUAAAUUUUGCUCUGCAGCUAAGGCUAGGUACCGACUGAGGUUUGUUGAAUCAAAGCGCAAGAAAAAAAAUAAAAAAGGCUGCUGGGACAGAAUGUUUUUGUAAAUAUUGUGUAGAGAUAUACAGUGUUAGUUUAUAAAUAAACUGCCCUGCAGACGACUGAUGCAUCGUUA